rnacentral:rRNA from 1 species
UACGGAGGGUGCAAGCGUUAAUCGGAAUUACUGGGCGUAAAGCGCGCGUAGGCGGUUUUUUAAGUCGGAUGUGAAAGCCCCGGGCUCAACCUGGGAACUGCAUCCGAUACUGGAAGACUAGAAUGCAGGAGAGGGAGGUAGAAUUCCAUGUGUAGCAGUGAAAUGCGUAGAUAUAUGGAGGAAUACCAGUGGCGAAGGCGGCCUCCUGGCUCGACAUUGACGCUGAGGUGCGAAAGCGUGGGGAGCAAACGGG